CUUGUUUACAUAAGAGGUCCAGCCUGCCCAGUGAUAAAUUUAACGGCCGCGGUAACCUAACCGUGCGAAGGUAGCAUAAUCACUUGUCCUUUAAAUGGGGGCUUGUAUCAACGGCACCACGAGGGUUAUACUGUCUCCUUUAUCUAAUCAGUGAAACUGAUCCCCCCGUGAAGAAGCGGGGAUAAAAUUAUAAGACGAGAAGACCCCAUGGAGCUUUAAAUUAAGCAGCAACUCAACCAUCUAAUCCCCUUAUAAAAUAGAGAUAUGCAUGCGAUUUUUAGGUUGGGGCGACCGCGGAGUAUAAAAUAACCCCCACGACGAAAAGACCUAAAUCUUUAUCCCAGAGUUACCCCUCAAAGAAUUAGUACCCUAACGAACAAUAACCCGAUUAUCGAUCAACGAACCA
rnacentral:rRNA from 1 species